rnacentral:rRNA from 1 species
AGAGUUUGAUCCUGGCUCAGGAUGAACGCUAGCGGCAGGCUUAACACAUGCAAGUCGAGGGGUAACAUUGUAGCUUGCUACAGAUGACGACCGGCGCACGGGUGCGUAACGCGUAUACAAUCUACCUUAUACUGGGGAAUAGGCCAAAGAAAUUUGGAUUAAUGCCCCAUAGUAUUUUUGGAACACAUGUUCUAAUUCUUAAAGCUCCGGCGGUAUAAGAUGAGUAUGCGUGAUAUUAGCUAGUUGGUGAGGUAACUGCUCACCAAGGCAACGAUAUCUAGGGGGUCUGAGAGGACUAUCCCCCACACUGGUACUGAGACACGGACCAGACUCCUACGGGAGGCAGCAGUGAGGAAUAUUGGGCAAUGGAGGCAACUCUGACCCAGCCAUGCCGCGUGAAGGAAGAAGGUUCUAUGGAUUGUAAACUUCUUUUAUUUGGGAAGAAACCUCUCUACGUGUAGAGAGCUGACGGUACCAAACGAAUAAGGACCGGCUAACUCCGUGCCGGCAGCCGCGGUAAUACGGAGGGUCCAAGCGUUAUCCGGAAUCAUUGGGUUUAAAGGGUGCGCAGGCGGUUUAUUAAGUCAGUGGUGAAAUCUCGGGGCUCAACCUCGAAACUGCCAUUGAUACUGAUAAACUUGAGUUCAGUUGGAGUAGGCGGAAUGUGUAGUGUAGCGGUGAAAUGCUUAGAUAUUACACAGAACACCGAUAGCGAAGGCAGCUUACUAAACUGAUACUGACGCUGAGGCACGAAAGCGUGGGGAGCGAACAGGAUUAGAUACCCUGGUANUCCACGCCGUAAACUAUGAUUACUCGAUAUUGGCGAUAUACA